rnacentral:rRNA from 1 species
CUAUGGCUUGCAAGUAAAAAUCGACUCUUCACCAACGAAAGACGCUUCAACAGGGGCAUAUCUGACUCCAACUGCUGCCCGUUCUGCUCAGCCUCUGAAUCAAUGAGUCACCUAUUCCUUCAAUACCCCGAUCUUCGCCCUCUUUGGCAGGAACUGAGCUCUCUUUCUGCUUCAGUACCGUCGGACUUUCAGCAUCUUUGGGGCAUGGACCUGGCCAACAGACCAUGAUCAACGGUCAUCAUUGCUAUUCUCUGGAAUAUCUGGAAAAGAAGAAAUGCAAAAGUUUUUAGGCAGGAUUUGCAACCUAUCCACCUCAUCGCCCGCUCAGCUGCAGACGACCUCAUGCUUUGGUCCAAUAGAUGCUCCAAUGAGCAGGCCGUGAACCUUCUGAGUGAUUUGUGUACUAUGUUGUUCCACUUAUCUAUGAGAUUGUAA